rnacentral:rRNA from 1 species
UCGAUAACGAACGAGACCUUAACCUGCUAAAUAGCCCGUAUUGCUUUGGCAGUACGCUGGCUUCUUAGAGGGACUAUCGGCUCAAGCCGAUGGAAGUUUGAGGCAAUAACAGGUCUGUGAUGCCCUUAGAUGUUCUGGGCCGCACGCGCGCUACACUGACAGAGCCAGCGAGUACUCCCUUGGCCGGAAGGCCCGGGUAAUCUUGUUAAACUCUGUCGUGCUGGGGAUAGUCCAUUGCAAUUAUUGGACUUCAACGAGGAAUUCCUAGUAAGCGUGAGUCAUCAGCUCGCGUUGAUUACGUCCCUGCCCUUUGUACACACCGCCCGUCGCUAAUACCGAUUGAAUGGAUG